AAUGUGAACUUCCCAGCGAUGAGAACCCAUCUGAGACUACAUUACAUCUAGAUUCAUUAUGCCAUGAAAGUCCUUCACAAAGUGCAUUAUUAAAAGGGAACGAGAUUGACUAUAUACCAAUUCCUGCUGUUGAGGGCUUCACAACAUCACAAGUUAACAAUUGAACAACUAACCUGAACGAUAAUCUCGAAGGAGAAUUACAGCGUCUACGAUUGAUCGAGCAAGUGUCUCAGUUAACGAAGCAAGUUGAAUUGCUUCAGUUUAAGUUAGAUUGCAAAAGCAUUAUCAAACAAAUUGAAAAGGACGAUGAAGUUUGUCAGUUUUAUACUGGUAUUAACAGUCACGAAAAACUUAAGAUGAUGUAUCAAUGGGUUGCUAAAUUUGUAAAGAUCGUAGAGUAAAACUUAACUUCUUCGAGCAAUUUGUUUUAACAUUAAUGAAACUAAAAUUGAAUUUAGGAUUGCAAGAUUUGGCUUAUCGCUUUGAAAUUUGCCUAUCAACUGCUUCUAAGUAUUUUUCAUUUUGGAUUCAUUCAUUGUACACAUGUUUAGUCUCAGUUUUAAUUAGCUGGCCGUAACGAGAAAUUUUAAGAACUACACUACCUCUUUGUUUCAGGGACAAAUUUUACAAAUGUAAUUGUAUUAUAGACUGUUAUGAAAUAUUCAUUGAUCGUCCCAUACAAAUCAAGGAACGCGCAUCAAUAUAUUCCAUUUACAAAUCCCACAACACUGCCAAGUAUUUGAUUGGAAUAGCUCCACAAGGUUAUAUUUCAUUUAUUUCACGGGGAUAUGGUGGACGGUCAAGUGACCAAUUUAUAGUACAGCAAUCAGGAUUUCUUGAAAAUCUUGAAUAUGGUUACUUGGUACUUGCCGACCGCGGCUUUUCAAAUCAUGAAGCAGUUGGUCUUCAAAACGCAUAACUUAAAAUUCCAUCAUCCCUCGGAAAAAAACAACAAUUGACAAGCAUUGAAGUAGAAGAAUCCCGAGAUCUAGCUAGAGUGCGCAUUCAUGUGGAAAUGGUUAUUGGUGCUAUUUCUCGAAGGUAUUCUAUUCUACAAGGCCCAUUCAAUUAUCAGUGCCUAUUAACUAAUUUUUCUACCGAAUAAUUGGAUUUAACCGAAUCAGUUGUUGAUAAAAUGGUCGCUGUUGCGUGUGCAUUAUACAAUUCCUGUCCGUCGGUGGUCCCAUUAGCCUAAAACAUUUGUAUGUAGAUUUAUUGAAAUAAAAUGUAAUUGGCCUCAUU